rnacentral:rRNA from 1 species
UUAGGCAUUGUGGUGUUUGGGUCGGCUCGUGGGAUUGCCGCUCCACUCGAAGUCCAGCAUUGAGUAUGGUUUCUGGAUUUGGCCCAUAGAGGGUGAAAGGCCCGUGCGGGUGGAGUUUCAGACAUGAUUGGCAAUUCACCAGGCCGGCCUUAGAGUCGGGUUGUUUGGGAAUGCAGCCCAAAGUGGGUGGUAAACUCCAUCCAAGGCUAAAUACUAGCACGAGUCCGAUAGCGAACAAGUACCGUGAGGGAAAGUUGAAAAGUACUUUGAAGAGAGAGUAAACAGUACGUGAAACCGCAUGAAGGUAAACGGGUGGCGUCAAGCUGCAAGCCCAGAGGAUUCAGUCGGUCAGGAUGUUGUGUAUGUGCCUAGCGCAUCUAUCAGUCGAUUAUAGUUGAAUAGUCUGUUUGGUUAAAACAGGCCUGGUCGCAAGGCUAGGAUUUGCAGUCCGUUUGGUUGGCGGAGCAAGCUAUUCGAUUGUGGACUGUCUGGCCGAUGCACUUUCUCUGUGGUGAACACCACGACCGGUGGUACUGUCGGUCUGCUUUGGUCAAGUCCUUGUUAAUUGACACUUGUUGUUAGUUAGCCUGGAUCACAUGCAAUUUCAGUGCACGGUGUUCAGAUGCUUCGGUAUUUGAGCAUGUUAUCGGAUGCUGGUUGUAAACGGAUUAUGUUGUAAGAUUGUAAAACUUGCAAUAUAGUCUGGUGGACCUUAGUGGUAAGAAUAACCGUACAGCGCACUGGUGUUAUCGGUCUCUAAAUCUAAUUAAUGCCCACAUUACAAGUGGUUAAUGCUGGUGUUGUCCUAAUUUGCCUAUGCUUCGAUCUGAUUGUCGUGUCGCCUGCACAAAGU